CCAUGAGAACCUUGAUUUGUAAUAACAGCUCUUCCCCCACCCCAGGCUGUUCCCUAGCUGGGAUUUCAUUUCCCCAUGGCACAGACUAAUAAUUAAGAGGCCUUGGAAGAGCAGGGAGGGAGGGGUCAGGUUUCCCCCCCAUCAAGCAGAGGGGGCGGAUGACGGAGGCCGGAUGGUUUAUAGGGAGCUGGAGGUCGGGAAGCUGCAUCCCAGCUGCAGAGAUUGCUUAAUUCCAGCUGCAGGACACGCCAAGCCCAGUGACCAUGCGGCCUGCAGUGUCCAUCGCACUGAUCCUCGUGGCUCUGACGGUCCUGGCAGGUUUCCGUGCCUUGCUCGAGUCUCAGGAAGGAGCCACGCUCUCUACGACAGCAAGGAUGGGGCGGAUGGAUCUGAAAAUUGCAGUGGCCUUCGUCCUGCUGCUGUUUCUCUGCACUGAGGCUGCCAGUUAUCGGCUGCAGAAGCGAGAGGCUCAGGACUCAUUCUCCCAGAUCCAGGAGGUUGCCAAGAGUUAUUGGGAGCGGCUGAAUUCAGCGGUCCAGGGCUGGAUGGACAGUGUCAAAUCUUGAUAUUGGGAGGAAACUGAGGCACAGCGAUGGCACGUGAGAAGGAGUAAGCUGCAGACAGAGGAACAGAACCCACAACUCCUGACUCCCCCCUCAUUCUCCACUAAGUUGAGAAUA
rnacentral:lncRNA from 1 species